CAGUCGCCGCGGUAACACGAAGGGUGCAAGCGUUAAUCGGAAUUACUGGGCGUAAGGCGUGCGUAGGCGGUUUGUUAAGUCUGUUGUGAAAUCCCCGGGCUCAACCUGGGAAUGGCAAUGGAUACUGGCAAGCUAGAGUGUGUCAGAGGAUGGUGGAAUUCCCGGUAUAGCGGUGAAAUGCGUAGAGAUCGGGAGGAACAUCAGUGGCGAAGGCGGCCAUCUGGGACAACACUGACGCUGAGGCACGAAAGCGUGGGGAGCAAACAGGAUUAGAUACCCCCGUAGUCCCUGUCUCUUAUAC
rnacentral:rRNA from 1 species